GGAGGUGUGAGCUCCCACCCUGGUCAUCCUCCGUAUCAACCGGGCUGCUCGCUGUGUCAGCUGGUCUCCCAAGGAGAACAAGUUCGCUGUGGGUAGCGGGUCACGCCUCAUAUCCAUCUGCUACUUUGAACAGGAGAAUGACUGGUGGGUCUGUAAGCACAUCAAGAAGCCGAUCCGUUCCACCGUCCUCAGUCUGGACUGGCAUCCUAACAACGUGCUGCUGGCGGCUGGAUCCUGUGACUUCAAAUGCAGGGUUUUCUCGGCCUACAUCAAGGAGGUGGAGGAGAAGCCCGGACCCACAGUGUGGGGGUCCAAGAUGCCGUUUGGAGAGGUGCUGUUUGAGUCUGGGCCCUCAGCAGGGGUGUCAGGGGGGGCUGGAGAUGGGGCAGGAGGGGGAUGGGUCCACGGGGUCUGU